UCUUCCUUCCUCUUAGCUCUUAGAAUAGCUUAUAAACGAGAUCGUAUAAGCCUAGCCCAGUGGUCAUCUGAUACCGGUAGAAGUGGCUAUGGUAAAAGUGCUUUCCAAUCCGUCACGUCGUCCCAUCCUCCUAACGAUAUAUUGCGAGGAGCUUUACGAAGCCAUUCGUGGUGUAUUUAUAUAUAGCUUAUCCUUUCUUACUGUGACCCGGGAAUAAUAACCAUAUCCAAGCCAAGGAGUUAGACCAACCCAGAUAGACCACGUUAUGGCCGAUGGGAUUAGGAAAGAAGCAACGGAUUGAU
rnacentral:lncRNA from 1 species